GAUGAAGAACGCAGCGAAACGCGAUAAGUAAUGUGAAUUGCAGAAACCAGUGAAUCAUCGAAUCUUUGAACGCACAUUGCGCCCGCCAGCAUUCUGGCGGGCAUGCCUGUUCGAGCGUCAUUUCAACCCUCGACCUCCCCUUGGGGAGGUCGGCGUUGGGGACCGGCAGCACACCGCCGGCCCUGAAAUGGAGUGGCGGCCCGUCCGCGGCGACCUCUGCGCAGUAAUACAGCUCGCACCGGGACCCCGACGCGGCCACGCCGUAAAACACCCAACUUCUGAACGUUGACCUCGAAUCAGGUAGGACUACCCGCUGAACUUAAGCAUAUCAAUAAGCGGAGGA
rnacentral:misc_RNA from 1 species